CUUGAUUUCCUCGUGUGCGGGUAAGACGUCAUCCACUUUCGCAGUUGGUACUUGAGCUACAACUGGCUCGGCUGGUUGCACCUCUUUGGCAGCCUCUUCAGAAGCCUCAGGCACGGCCUCUGUCUCGGGAACGGCCUCAAGCACAGGCUGUGGCUGCUGGACUUCUUCGUUCCCUGACGGUGGGAGUUGUUCUACUGGGACAGCAAGCUCGACCUCGCGUUCGGAAACUUCAUGCUGCACCUCGACUUUGCUUUGCUCCUCUUCCACGUUGUCGUGAAUAUCCUCACUGGCAGGAGGUGCUCGCUGUGUGUCGUCCACUGUGGCAUCUGUCGCAUGCAUGGAAUCUGGAGCACCACUCUCGAUCUCUGGCACCGCCAACUUUUCUCCCUCCUGCAGGAUCGCGACUGAAGCACUCUCCCUGGGCUCGACAUUCUCCACCUGGUCAUCCACAGCCACCUUGGCCGGCUCUAUGCUCUCUUCCUCCUUGAUUUCCUCGUGUGCGGGUAAGACGUCAUCCACUUUCGCAGUUGGUACUUGAGCUACAACUGGCUCGGCUGGUUGCACCUCUUUGGCAUCCUCUUCAGAAGCCUCAGGCACGGCCUCUGUCUCGGGAACGGCCUCAAGCACAGGCUGUGGCUCCUGGACUUCUUCGUUCCCUGACGGUGGGAGUUCUUCUACUGGGACAGCAAGCUCGACCUCGCGUUCGGAAACUUCAUGCUGCACCUCGACUUUGCUUUGCUCCUCUUCCACGUUCUCGUGAAUGUCCUCACUGGCAGGAGGUGCUCGCUGUGUGUCGUCCACUGUGGCAUCUGUCGCAUGCAUGGAAUCCGGUGCACCACUCUCGAUCUCUGGCACUGCCAACUUUUCUCCCUCCUGCAGGAUCGCGACUGAAGCACUCUCCCUGGGCUCGACAUUCUCCACCUGGUCAUCCACAGCCACCUUGGCCGGCUCUAUGCUCUCUUCCUCCUUGAUUUCCUCGUGUGCGGGUAAGACGUCAUCCACUUUCGCGGUUGGUACUUGAGCUACAACUGGCUCGGCCGGUUGCACCUCUUUGGCAGCCUCUUCAGAAGCCUCAGGCACGGCCUCUGUCUCGGGAACGGCCUCAAGCACAGGCUGUGGCUGCUGGACUUCUUCGUUCCCUGACUGUGGGAGUUCUUCUACUGGGACGGCAAGCUCGACCUUGCGUUCGGAAACUUCAUGCUGCACCUCGACUUUGGUUUGCUCCUCUUCCACGUUGUCGUGAAUGUCCUCACUGGCAGGAGAUGCUCGCUGUGUGUCGUCCACUGUGGCAUCUGUCACAUGGAUGGAAUCUGGAGCAGCACUCUCGAUCUCUGGCACCGCCAACUUUUCUCCCUCCUGCAGGAUCGCGACUGAAGCACUCUCCCUGGGCUUGAAAUUCUCCACCUGGUCAUCCACAGCCACCUUGGCCUGCUCUAUGCUCUCUUCCUCCUUGAUUUCCUCGUGUGCGGGUAAGACGUCAUCCACUUUCGCGGUUGGUACUUGAGCUACAACUGGCUCGGCUGGUUGCACCUCUUUGGCAUCCUCUUCAGAAGCCUCAGGCACGGCCUCUGUCUCGGGAACGGCCUCAAGCACAGGCUGUGGCUCCUGGACUUCUUCGUUCCCCGACUGUGGGAGUUCUUCUACUGGGACAGCAAGCUCGACCUCGCGUUCGGAAACUUCAUGCUGCACCUCGACUUUGCUUUGCUCCUCUUCCACGUUGUCGUGAAUGUCCUCACUGGCAGGAGGUGCUCGCUGUGUGUCGUCCACUGUGGCAUCUGUCGCAUGCAUGGAAUCCAGUGCACCACUCUCGAUCUCUGGCACCGCCAACUUUUCUCCCUCCUGCAGGAUCGCGACUGAAGCACUCUCCCUGGGCUCGACAUUCUCCACCUGGU
rnacentral:lncRNA from 1 species